rnacentral:sRNA from 1 species
AACCAGAGAAGCCAGGCUAUCACGGAA